AUGAACGUUGGCGGCGUGGAUUAGGCAUGCAAGUCGAGCGAGAACCGCGCAAGGGGGACAGCGGCAACGGGGUAGUAACGGGUAGGCAACGUACCCUCGGGUCGGGGAUAGGCCAGCGGGAAACUGUGGGUAAUACCCGAUAAUCUCUGCGCGUGGCUAAGGUAUCGCAGAGCAAAGGUGUGAUUCCACCGGAGGAGCCGGCCUGCCUUCGUAUUAGCUUGUUGGUGAGGUAACGGCUCACCAAGGGCGACGAUGCGUAGGGGGGUGUGAGAGCCAUGACCGUCCCACCACUGGGACUGAUGAUACUGUCACCAGACACUCUACUGGGUGGCUGCAGUCGAGAAUCUUCGGCAAUGGGCGCAAGCCUGACCCGAGGCGACGCCGCGUGUGGGAUGAAGGCCCUUGGGUUGUAAACCACUGUCAGAGGGCCGAUGAAGUGCACGAGAGCUAUCUCUUGUGCUUGACAUAGCCUCAGAGGAAGCAGCGGCUAAGUUCGUGCCAGCAGCCGCGGUAAUACGAAAAGCUAGUGGCAAAAGCGUUAUUCGGAAUCAUCUGGGCUUACAGGGUGCGUAGGCGGCUUGCCUAAGUAGGGUGUGAAAGCCCCCGGCUCAACCGGGGAAAUUGCGCCCUAAACUUGGCGAGCCUGCGAGUGAGAUAGGGGUGUGCGGAACUUCCGGUGGAGCGGCUGAAAUGUGUUGACUAUCGGAAGGAACGGCCGGUGGGCGAAAGCGGCAAGGCCAACUGGAUCUCAACUGACGCUGAGGCACGAAAGCCAGGGGAGCGAACGGGAUUAGAUACCCCGGUAGUCCUGGCUGUAAACGAUGAGGCACUAGCUGGGAGGGACGUAGGUCCCUCCCAACGGAGCGAAAGUGUUAAGAUGCUCCCGGCCUGGGGGAGUAUGGUCGGCAAGGCUGAAACUCAAAGGAAUUGACGGGGGGCUCACACAAGCGGUGCGAGCAUGCUGGCUUAAUUCGAGGCAACGCGAAGAACCUUAUCCUAGGCUUGACAUGGUCGGAUUAGUUCCGCUGAAAGCGGAAUGAACGCCUUCGGGUGGAACGAUCCACAGGUGCUGGCAUGGCUGUCCGUCAGCUCGUGUCGUGAGAUGUCGGGUUUAGUCCUUCAACGAGCGAAACCCCUGUCUCCAGUUGCCCAGCCAUUCAGUUGGGGACUCUGCCGGAGAGACCGGUCCCGGCGUUAAGCCGGAGGAAGGCGGGCGACGACGUCAAGUCAUCACGGCCUUUAUGCUUAGGGACCUGCACACGUGGCUACAAUGGGGCGGACAAGGGAAGCCAACGCGCGAGCGGGAGCAAAUCUCAAAAACCGCCCCCCAGUUCAGAUUGCAGGCUGCCAAUUCGCCUGCAUGAAGCCGGAAUCGCUAGUAAUCGCCAGAUCAGCUAUGCCUGCGGUGAAUGUGUUCCUGAGCCUUGUACACACCGCCCCCGUCAAGGCCACGAAAGCGGGGAGCAUCCCAAGUCGCCGCGUGAAACCGCUAGGAUCCACAAUCGCCUAAGUACUGAACUCGCGUGAUUGGGACU
rnacentral:rRNA from 1 species